CCGUGUUGGGCAAUGAUUUUUAUGUUUAUUACACUGUGAAGACUCUUACAUUUUGUCCUUUAAGGGUUUUCUUAACGUACGAUCAGGCCGAGUCACAGCUGCCCUGUUUUCCAGAGUUCAAGAGAGAAUAACAAGAUGAGGGGAAAAAAAGAUUGAAGUUACUCAGAGGAAGUAAAAAAAGAGAAGUUGAAGCUGUAACUCUCUCUCAAGAGUGUUUGAGAGUAAAGGGUGUGUGAACGAGAGAGAGCACGAAGUGAGAUCCGUCACUUCAGAAGGAUUAAAAUGUCUUUAUCUGUGAUACUGAUGCUUCUGUUUACAGACAGAUCAGAUCAGGAGAACAAGUUUCAGAAGCUCGUGUGUUGCUGAAUGUUAUUAACAAUACCUCGGACGAUGCCUCCAGGUUUUACUGCUCUGUGUUCAGAUUUGGAGUCUGUGCCCACACAGUGCAGUGGUAUUAUAAGGGUGAUGAGACAGAUAUAUCAGAACACCAACAGGUCGACUGUACAGCUAUUGUGUCAUUUAAAACUCCUCAUGUUGUUCAGAAGUCAAACUUUAAUGAGUUGCUGUAUUGUAAAGUAACAGACAAUAAGAGUGGACAAACACUGCUGUGUAAUGUCUUCUCUAAGUCCUCCUGUGAGAAAACAGACACAACAGGAAGCACAUCAGCAGGAGGAGAUGAAAUGAAAGAGGCGACAAACCAAAUUGGUUGCCAUAUGUGAUUGUAGCCGCUGGUUUAGCAGCCUUCUUAAUCAUCUUAAUAGUUGUUGUGGCAUUCAUCAGACGGAAGAGAACUAAAGGCAACAAAACACAGACGGACAAAAACAUUGCGGAGCAUGAAGAUAUUGUUGCCUACGCCUCCAUCAGCUACACCAAGAAGGGCAACAGUAGAGCUCAGGCUGAUGGAGAUAAAGAAGGUGAAGGUGUGACGUACAGCACUGUGAAAGUCCCCUCCUCUGACACUGAAGCCUCUGUUGACCCCAGCAGCCUGUACGCCACCGUCAACAAACCAAACAAGAGAGAGACAACAGGAUAGUUACAGCUCAUGUCACUAAUCUUGAUAGACCAAUGAAUGUGACUCCUCCCUCCUGCAGCUCUUACAUGUGUCUUUAAUUUAAUCUUCAUUACUCUCUCAUUGUGUUUUGUGCAUUUUGUGGAUACUUUCUCAGAGUUCUUGCAGAGUUUCUACACACAUAUGAACAUCAAAUAGAUGUGUGAAAUAAAAGAGGUGGCUGGAGAGGAUGAGAGGAAGUGGUUUGUGACAUCCGUUAUCGACACUGAAGUUAAAAAAAGAGUCACACUAAACUGAAAACUGAGAAAACCA